UACGUAGGGGGCAAGCGUUGUCCGGAUUUAUUGGGCGUAAAGAGCGUGUAGGCGGCCAUACAGGUCAGCUGUGAAAACUCGAGGCUCAACCUCGAGACGUCGGUUGAAACCGUAUGGCUAGAGUCCGGAAGAGGAGAGUGGAAUUCCCGGUGUAGCGGUGAAAUGCGCAGAUAUCGGGAAGGAACACCAGUGGCGAAAGCGGCUUCCUGGUCCGACACCGACGUUCAGGCACGAAAGCGUGGGGAGCAAACAGG
rnacentral:rRNA from 1 species